UACGUAGGGUGCGAGCGUUGUCCGGAAUUAUUGGGCGUAAAGGGCUCGUAGGCGGUUUGUCACGUCGGGAGUGAAAACUCAGGGCUCAACCCUGAGCCUGCUUCCGAUACGGGCAGACUAGAGGUAUGCAGGGGAGAACGGAAUUCCUGGUGUAGCGGUGAAAUGCGCAGAUAUCAGGAGGAACACCGGUGGCGAAGGCGGGUCUCUGGGCCGAUACUGACGCUGAGGAGCGAAAGCAUGGGUAGCGAACAGG
rnacentral:rRNA from 1 species